CCAGACUCCUACGGGAGGCAGCAGUGGGGGAUAUUGCACAAUGGGGGGAACCCUGAUGCAGCGACGCCGCGUGAGGGAAGACGGUUUUCGGAUUGUAAACCUCUGUCUUUAGGGACGAAACAAAUGACGGUACCUAAAGAGGAAGCCACGGCUAACUACGUGCCAGCAGCCGCGGUAAUACGUAGGGGGCGAGCGUUAUCCGGAUUUACUGGGUGUAAAGGGAGCGUAGACGGCCAUGCAAGCUCGGUGUGAAAGGUGCGGGCACAACCCGCAGACUGCACUGAGAACUGUAUGGCUGGAGUGCCGGAGGGGCAGGCGGAAUUCCUGGUGUAGCGGUGAAAUGCGUAGAUAUCAGGAGGAACACCGGUGGCGAAGGCGGCCUGCUGGACGGCGACUGACGUUGAGGCUCGAAAGCGUGGGGAGCGAACAGGAUUAGAUACCCCGGUAA
rnacentral:rRNA from 1 species